CAAGGAUACCUAAUGACAAAGCAAUAGCAAGGAUACUAGACAUGCAUAUAUAUUGUGCUCUAACAGUACUGAAUAGGAUUAACUAUCCUGGUGCACGGCAGCCACAGCAGCAAAUAGUUGAAUAGGAUUAACUAACAUUACUGCAGCAAGGAUAAGUGAGCUGUUUGGCUUUUUUUUUUGUAUCAAGCAAUACAAACAAACAAUCAGUAUAAAUUGGAAUUUAUUUACUGCAAGGUACCCGGCAGCUACCAAUUUGCUUCCCAGAUAUAAAUGAAAUAUUUUUAACAAACAGUUCACUGCAGAACAAAACAGAGACCGAACUGAAGAGGAUACAAGCUAAGUAAGAACAGAAAAAGAGAUCAGCAAGCUGUAGUCAACAUAGGAAAUUGAUAGACUCUUUGAGUAGCAUACCUGAUGAGAAGUUAUGUCCUACACAGUAGCAUUCAAAUUGACAUUCAGAAAUGAACAGAUGCAUGUAGCAAAACAAAGUGUACAUAGUCCUACUAUCUCAGACUCUCACUUAAAACAAAGAGCACAUGUAUUGCAUAAUUACUUUUGCAAUGACCUCAUGCUCAGUGAAAUACCUUCAUGUCUCAUAUACACCAAGGUACCAAGUCAACUGCACAGUGCAAGAAACUAUAGCAACAAAUUGAACUAUUUCCUGAACUAUGCAAAUACUGAGAAAGCAAGUUAGCAGUUUUCUUAUUCUGCCAAAUACUAAACAGAUAUUGAAAUAAGUGGUUUUUGAAACUUACCGCCACAUAUUCUUCCCAUACAGCAUCACUAUCAACAGAUAUUUUAUUUUUGUUCCAAUCCCAACCAAAUCCACUUGAUUCCAGCAUACCAUUGAUGAUAGUGUAGUGUUUGUCAAAGGUCUUGUUCCUCGCCAUGAUAUUGUCUUUUGAGAUAUCCACAUUACACUUUUCUCGGACAUUCUUGAUAGCAGCUGUAUAGACAUGAGACUUCCACCCAUUCUGGCAUCUGUCACCCUUGUUAUAGUACUCCACAAAUGUGUCAAGAAGAGCCUUGUCCAUGUCAUCAUUCCAAGAAAUGUAACCCCUGCCCGAGCCUGACUUCUUGCCCUUCUCCAUAUCCUACAGGAAAAAUGUUCACAAAAGGUUAUUAGUAAAAUAUUAGGAGCACUAAAAUUUAUCAUACAUUUUAAGCAUGCAUUGAUGAUAGAAUUUAUCAUACAUUGACCACGUCUUGCUUGGUAAUCAGCAAACAUUUGGUUAGCUUUGGUAUCCCUAAAAUUGCUCCAUUCAUUUGUUGAUUGAACAUUGGUAAUCAUACCCACUUCACUUUGAACUUCAUGAGGUUCAAAAGAUAUUACUUGAUCAACUUGGUGUAUAAGUAAAUCAUCCAUAUCUCUCUGUCUAUCAAUUACAAAGUUGUGCAAUAUGCAGCAAGCAUUAAUGAUCCUAAUCUGCAAGAAUUUAGUAGAAAUGAGUUGCAUGCUAGCUAGGGUCAUUCAAAGAUGAAUUUCAAGCUAGGUUACUAACUACGGAAUACCUGAUUUUGCAAGUCAAAAUAUGAGUUGCUUCUUAGUAUAGCCCACCUCAUCUUCAAUAGCCCAAAUGUUCUCUCUAUCACAUUUCUAGCAGUUGAAUGGCGCAAAUUGAAUAGUUCUUUGGCAGUGGAUGGGUUAUGCCCUUGAGCAGCCCACUCAUUCAAGUGGUAGCGAGUGGAUCGAUAUGGAGCAAGAAAGCCCGGUCCAUUGGUGUAUCCCGCAUCUACUAGAUAGUAUUUCCCACUUGGAAUAACAAAUGCAUCGUCCCGAGACAUUGCAUCACGUAGCACACGUGAAUCUGAAGCUGAUCCUUCCCAUCCCGCUAAGACGUAAACAAAUUUCAUGUGACGAUCACAAACCCCUAAAAUAUUGGUGGUAAUCUGUUGCUUCCUAUUCCUAUACCUCCCUUGGUCAGCCAAAGGCACAAAAACGUCAAUGUGUGUACCAUCUAAUGCUCCAAGGCAAUCUUCAAACCACUUCCACUUGGAAUCCUCAGGUUGUACAGCUGAUGGAUCAGGAAGCUUGAUAAAUUCAUGGCAUAAUGAUAGAAUACCUCUAAGCACCUCAUUGAAGUGACGGCAGAUUGGCUCAAGUGACCAUCCAUAUGAGCUACGAAUCAUCCUCAUCUUAGUGCCAUGACCCACUACAAGCAAAAAGAUUGCUACCUUUUCUUCUACCGACACAUUCUUGUUAUCACACAUACCACAUCUCUCACGUAAGAUGGCACAUAGGUCAUAAAAUGAUCUCUUAGUUAGGCGCAAACUAUCAUAGCAAUAGACAUUUGAUCCUUGGUACAGAUUUCUUAGCAUUUGUUUGCGUGUAGCUACAUCUCUCUCAACCACUUCAUUCGGAUCAACAAUAUGUCUAGGUCUCUUACGCUGAUACCAGUGCACAAUCAUGCUCAUGACAGCAGAAACAAAUAAAGCAGCCACCCUUUUUCUCUUUUUCCUACUCAUCUCUCUCAUUUGCUCCAUGCUUGUAUUAACCAAGUCUAUGUUGUUGUCAGGCAUCUAAAGCACAUAUGCAAAAAGGAAUAUUUUAAUUUAUCAUCAAAAUGCUACACUAUUUUGGAUAAUCAGAAGACAAAAAAUAAUCAGAAUGCCUACCAAACUGAGAUAGAUGAGGACCGAGAUUUUAAUGCCUACCAGUCCAAAAAACAGAAUGCACUCAACAAGGUUCAUGGUCUUUAUAGAUUUCUAGUUUACAUCAACCAUAAUUUUCUAUAGACGAUGGACACUAGAGGUUGCUUCCCAUAAUUGACUUGGAUACAUUUUCACUCCCUUUCUUCCGUGAGCUAGCUGGUAAUAAAGGCAUUGACAUCAACUGGGGCUGGUACAUAUACACACAACACACAUGUGCGUAGCUAGCUAGCUGGUCAUGAAAGCGAUCGGUGACAAGUAAAAUUCAAUCAACACACAAGUUGAACAACCCUCAUUCAAACCUAGGCAAACAGCACAUCCAAGGCAAACAGCACAUCCAAUAUUAACAGGCACAUGUAAAUGGUGAUAAAACAGUUAUUUUUUAUCCAAGCCAAACAUCUUAACAGCAACAUCAGACAGUCAUUACUUGAAUUAUAUACACACAAGGUGCUCCAGGAACUACACAUCUUAGAGUCAACUGAACAAAUCAAUAUCCUAAUUCCUCCCAGACCUAGAACUAAUAACCUGUGAACUCAGAACCUCACUCCUAGCUACAAAGGGGAAAAAUGAAUUGCAGAGGAUGCCUUGCUGACUACUGAAACAAUAGAAACGAUAGAGAUGGCUACAUGCUCCUCUAAAAAGUGAGAAGAAACGAAGAAAGGCAACGAUCUGGUGAGUUAAGCCUGGACAGUCCAUGCAAUUCUAAUGGGGUGAACUCCAAAGGUGAUGAGUCUAACCAAUCAGCAUUUAUAUAACUGAAUCUUCAUGCAUACGAAUAUGACCAGGACGUCGUAUUCCACAGAAGAAGGCAUGCAGGAGCAAUAUGAUGCAACGAGGAAAUAUCAAACAUGAGAAUCAAAAUGUACCAGACUAUCAUAUCUGACAACCAUCAGAUUUUGGAGGUGACAUUUCAAAAGGACCAAAAACUAUGAUUUUUCAACUAAGGAUCCACUCGCUAAUCUUUGAACUUACAAUGUAUCAAUGCCUCAGCAUAUCAGUUCCUUGCACCCUUCUUGAAGCCGCCCAGCAACGCCUUAACCAGUAGCUAACAAAAGAGAAAAGGAUCUGAGACAGUGAAAUAAUUAUCCUUAAGUAACAGAUAAGUAGAUGGGAACUUAAACUAGGACAAAACUAAUAGCUGUGAUAGAAAUGCUAAGAUAAGUUGGUUCAACUGAUGCAUGACGCUUUCAGCUGGCACUCCAGAAUGAACAAACAAUCAUAUACUGUGCAUAGAUGUUUUACAAACUGUUCUAAAACAGGACAUGGUUUAGCAUAGUAAAUAUAGACAAAUUAAGACACUAGUGCAAGCAUUACAUGAAUAAUUGAACCUGGGUAUAAAUUCCAAUAACAUAUGUGACAAAAAUGAAUUAUUCCAAUAACAUAGUAAAAUGAAUUCCAAUAACCUGGGUAUAGAGAAAGGUAUUUACACAUUUUGUGUGACCACCGUAGAAACAAUGAAUUUAUUUCUUCUGUGAGCAUGCAAAUUUGCUUGUUUUAUUCAUUGACAUGUUCUUCAAAUUGUCUAUAUAAUUAAAACAGAAAAUUGCUUUCUGGUCAGUCUACUCGUACAUUAGUUAGCACUUAGCACGCAGGUUAUCUAGCUCUAGACUUCUAUCUGAUGUUUGCUUCAUCUAUCCUGCAGAAUGUAACUACAGAAAUGGAAAGUGGGUUUCUGACAAUCGUAGACCUCUAUACUCGGGGUUUGGCUGUAAACAAUGGCUUUCAGAGAGCUGGUCCUGCAGAUUAACCCAGCGCAUAGAUUUUGAAUAUGAAAAUUUUAGAUGGCAGCCAGAGGCCUCUAAGUUCUUGACAGAUCAAUCUCAUGUCUAACAGAUCCUGAUAGGACAGGACUCAAAUGACCACAAGCACACAAUCUUAAGCUAAAAAAAGAGGCUGAAGAGGCACGCAAUAUCAAUCUCAUAACAUAUAUAUCAUUUUGGGUCACCAAGGCAGGAGUAUUUUACUCACCAAGGCAGUGAGUAAAAUGGAUAGCUGCCGAGCUCCUCCUCCUCCCGUCCCUGUGCUUCCCUUCCCUCAGAUCUGUCUACAGCCUCUAAAAAAGAACAAAUCGAGUCAAGGGUUAGGGUUAGGAGAGAAAUUGCUGUGUAUGUCGACGAGGAAGAGAGGGAGGGAGAGGGGGAAGGAGCACCGGCUCACCGCGUGGCGUGUGGUCGCCGGCGAGAAGCUGCUUGCGCGGAGGAGCGGCACGGGCGGCGCACUCUGUGCCGGCUCUGGAGAUCCUUCUCAGGAAGUGGAGGGGGUCGACGGAGGAGGGGGCAGCGGAGGAGGGGGCCGGCGGAGGAAGUGGAGGAGGGGGCGGCGGAGAAGUGGAGGAGGGGGCGGCGGAGGAACGGGGGCGGAGGCGAGCGGGUGGAACGGGGUGCGGGCGGGCUGGCUGGGGGCGGCGGCGGCGGCGCGGAUUCAGGGGUGGCGGAGGAGGGGCUGGCGGAGGGGGCGCCGGAGGAGGAGGCGGCGGCGCGGGAGGUGGCGGCGCGGAGUCGGGGGCGGCGGCACAGGGGCGAGUCGGGAGGCGUCGGGAGCAGGCGAGUGGGGGAGAGGAGUCGGGGGGAAUCAGUUUCCUGAUAUUUUGCUCGGAAUGUGGGGAAGGGAAGAUGGAAUCCUCAGGAAUCCCUCUUUCCAAUUCCGGGAGCAGCCAAACAAGAUGACUUUGGAAAUUAAUUCCAAUUCCAGCCAAUUCCAAUAAAACAAACAGGUCCUAAUUCUUUUUUGACUAAUAAUUUUGAUAAGACGGUGUUGGUUGGCAACGGAAACUAAAGUUGUAUUUAUAUGAAAAAUGGAAAUUAAAGGAGUAUUUGUAUACCAAAAAAGAAACGAUAGGAGUAUUUUUAUAUUAAAAAAUGGAAUUAAAGUUUCUUAUCGGAGGCUAUGUCAAUACAUGUUAACUGCACUAUAGCACAACUCCCAUGCAAUGUGUUAUUGGAGGAGGUAAAUUGACCACUAAACCCGCAUCCAUCGGAGGUAAAUUGACCACUAAACCCGCAUCCAUCGGCGUGCCAAAAUUUUGGCAGCAAACUAAGCAGGCUCAUGAUAUAGGAGAAACUUCGGUACAACUAAUGGCUUAGAAAAAAAAUAGUGGGAUCCACGGUGGUCCACAAAUGAAGCUUCUUGUCUUCCCACUAAACUCAGGGUUAUGAGCUGUAUUAACAUAUGGCAAGCAAGCAUGGAAUAUAAUAAAGAGACCAUACAGAUCAUGCUCCGAUUUCAACUUUCAACUGGACAGCAAGCUCGCGCAUAACCUUCAUACAAAGUGACUAGCAAUUUUAUCAUUUUAGAUUCUUCUCCAGGAAUCAUGCCGUGUUCUUCCAAUACUUCAAAAGGAAACCCUUCUUUUUAGGGCAUUCAAAAGGAAACCCUUGUGGCCGCUAUGUACACGAAGUAGCCACAGGGCACAGAAGUUUUCAGACACAAGUUUCAGUUAACAACCACAGUGAUUUUUGGUCAGAGCAAGGAUCUGUAUCACAUUGAACUAUUUUCUGCAGUACACUUUGUACUUGUUACAACCAUCAUGAAUGAAUAAAUCAUGCUUUAAUAGACCCUAUCUCAUCUCUUUACCCAACUGCAAUCGAUCCAAAACAUAUACACACAACUAUAUGCAACUACCUUAUCAGCUCCAUUUUGAUGUGCUAUUUUGGUACACUCUAGAGGUACAACAGAAGUGAACAAUGGUGUGUGCUCAAGAGUCAAGACGACUGCACGAUAGGUUGAUCUCCAAACGGCCCAUGCAGCCAACCUCUGGCGAUGUGUCCAUAUGCCGCCUCUGUCAAGUGAAUACCAUCCCAGCUCCAGUGCGUCUUAGGAUCGGCACAUGCUGAGGCACCAGGCUCACCGCAUUUUGCUGUUAGAUUGAAGUUGUAAGGGCCCCUGCCGGGAGCACCACAGCAUGCUCUUGGUAGUUGUUUGUAAAACCCUGCAUUAAGAGCAGAAUUAUUAGUUUCUUAAUUCACUUGGGAUACAAUCAUGGCAAUCACUUGAUGUAACUACAUAUCCUGGUUCUAAAUGCAGUACUAUACCGAAGCAUCUUCUUCCUUAUCUGCUGGCCACACAAAAUCUACAAAGGGGGAAAAAGGAUGGACACACAACUGUUGUGCCAAUCAUACGGAGAUGAUAAGGAUGGACGAAUUUGUACCCAUCUCUAGUGUCCAGAUAAAAUUAAACCAAUGCAUAACAUGGAAGAUUCUCAUUCUGACACAGAUGUCUCACCAAUAUGAUCCCAUGCUUUAAACUUAUCGUCAAAUAUGAGCCCAUGCUUUUCUAUUAACUCAGAAUGUUGCUCAGAAAUUUCUGGAGAAAAGUGAGCCAACAAGAUGCUAAACCUCAAUGAGUGGCUAAUAGAGUAGGAAUAAACGAAGACAUGUGAAACAAACCAAGAUACGAAACAUAUAUGUCAGUCACAGAGAUGGGUCCAGCUAGCUAUGUUAGUUACUAGUGUUUGUACUUCUUGUGACAAGGACUUCAAGAAAAGUGUUUUUCAGACAUGUUCAGAAAGUAAGAGAGACCAGUUGGUCCCAGGGUUAAGUAAACACCAAUUUUUGCAAGUAAUGGAGCCAAUAUGUUGCCUUGAAUACUUAUCUUUUUUUGCCGGUUGAAACUUCCAAUUCAUUAGUAAAAGUAAUAUCCCCAACUACAAGUAUAUGUAUAUAUCUUUACAUCUCUUCAGUUUUCUUGACAAUCAUUUUAAGUUUCUUUUGCUGAUAGUAUCGAAGCAACAUAAACCUUUCAGUAUAUCUUUAGUUUUCAGAUGGGUUUGUAACAUAAGGCUUAAUAACUAAUUGCUCUGGAAGAGGAUAAGAGAUGCUACAAGAUAACUUAAGUUGUUUACCAUCUUUUAACUUUGUAUGUUGUAAAGUGUCAUCUGUCAUAUCUUUGACUCACGGAAGAUUUAAGGAACUCCACCUGAGGAGACUGAACCUACAUCUAGAUCUGAAUUAUCUUGAAAUAGUGUAUUGCAUCUAACUAGAACGCAAGGGCAAUAGUUUGACUCUGCCCUAUGAAGUUGAAUUAAGUAAUGUUAGGCCACGCUAGACCUGUCCUUGACAAUUAAAACUAAAAAGCUUAUCCUUAGCCAUAUAGGACUGCUAUCAGUUCCCCACUGACUGAACCGACCAUAUCAAACAAUCGACAUUAUUAAUGAUAGAAUUGUAGCGCAAAUAAGCAACUGAGGAUCUCACCAAACUUCUCUGGCUGAAGUAUGAACUGGAUGACUGGCGUGAAGUAAUCACCAUACAUGAUCCUCACUCCAGGAUGCUUGGCACGGAGCUUCUCCAGAGCGCGCUUGAGCAUCGCAUUGUGCACCCACGAGAAUGUGUUGAAUCGUUUGAGGCAGCCGGUACGCGAGCCAUGCCCUUCCUUUGGGUCAGUGUACAUGGUCAGGUACACUGGAAAGCACCCCGACGGCAUCACUCCAGGCACAAUCAAAUCCUUUGCCCCUUCGGCAAUCAAUUGCUGUGGAGCACAUACAAAGAAUCAAUUGGGGAUCAAUCCACAAUAAGCACGACGAAUAACAGCGGUGACGCAAUUCUUACUUCAACUCCAUCGGAGAUACCCUGAACCACAUGGGGCAUCAGCUUGUAGGCCUCCUUGAGAUCCUUGCCAGCGAACAGGGGCGCGUUGUAGUCAUUUCCGCCAAAUUCACCGACGAUGAACAAACACUUGGCAAAGAAAUCCUUGCAUUCUUAGGGACGAAGAAAAGGAGCAAAAAGAAAAAAACAGAGAGAAAGCAACAUCAACAUCCAUUAGACGGAAAUGAAUUUACUUUAAGAAAGGUAAAGAUUCGGCGGUGGCUUUUCCAUUCGUGGCUUUACCUUGGGCGGAGUUGCAGAGCGAGGGCUUGAGGUCGCGCAGCCACUGGAUUUGUGUGAAGAGUGAGCCGGAGUUCCAGACGGUCUUGCCGAGCCCGCGCUUCUGGAAGAAUUCGGUGUCAAGCGCGGUGGCGCCGGUGAUGGCGAAGUUGGCGCCCCGCGCGAAGCUGGCGUUCUUGGCCUUGGACGGCGGCAGGAACGGGAGGCCGAGCUCUUGCGCUGCGGGAGAGCAGAGAAGCCAAAACCCAUCGAAUUCAGAACAGAGCCACUUCGCCAAGGACGCGAAGAAAAGAACCUCCAGCAAUUGGCGGAAUUUACCGAUGAAAUCGACGACGAGGCGGCCGUCGGAGCACCGUCCGGUGGGGUACCCGAAGUAGGUCUGGCCGUAGGGCAGGCGCGCGGUGGCGAGGUAGUCCGGGAUGCCGUCGGUGACGAGGUUGCCGGCGUCCACCAGCGAGUCCCCGAAAUUGAACACCGCGCGGUACCUCCCGCGGGCCUCCGCCGCCGCCACGAGAAGCGGCAGCACCGCAAGAACCGCGCAAGCCCACCUCGCCGUCGCCGCCGCUCCGCCGCCUCCCGCCAUGGCCGAGCCCGAACCCGCCCCCCGGAAUUAGCGCGAGGAGAAGGAGAAGGGCGGUUUGGCUUUGGCCUGGCUUGGGUUUCCUGGCUCGGCGGGCUCGUGAACUGGGUGCCGGCUGGGGCUACCCGUGGCGCUUGUCCGGUUGCCCCUUUUGUAGGCCAGGUAGCCGCUGUGACUGCGAGUGGGCGACGAGCCAGACGGCUGCGGACUGUGGAGUUCGGGUGGGGGAGCUUGGAUUCUUACUGCCUGCGCCCACCACCCCCACCGCGGCUGCGUGCCUGCGCGUGAUGAGUGGUGGCACGGCUGGAGCCGGCCGGAGGGACGUGUGCAAAGGAAACGGGGAACAGGAACAGAUACAGUGGGGUUGUGCGGACGGGGACGGCGACGCGGACGCGGGCGGUGCAUUGACUGCGGCCGUGGCCAGUGGCCUGGCGGGCGGUAUUGAAUGUGGCUAGCAGGCUAGGACGGCGGGGGAGGGGAGGUGGUAAAUGGCGGCCGAGGCGGCGUGCAAACGUGUUCGUGCUUCCGUCGCCGAUUCGGGAGAGAUCGCCGCACUUGGGCACGGAGGCAGCAGCUGUACCCGGUGCUCUUGGUUCGGCAUCGCAACUUGCAAGGUCAUGUCGUCGCGUUAGCGAUGAUGGAUGCGUCGCCGUCUUGGCCAACUGGCGUCCAGCGGUCAUGCGUGAGCAACCGUUUCAACUAGUGGCAGCGCUAUAGAUGAUGCAGAAACGUGACAUGCAUUUGAGUAUUCGCUGAACCCCUAACAAAAUUUGGUUUGGUUAUACAUCAUUCCAUAUUUUCGCUUGGUCUUGAAUAAAUCUUAGGAAAAGUUAUGUCACCCAAGUGCUUUGUGACUGGCGGUCACUUGAAUUUAGUGGCUCGUCUGAUCUCUUUUAUUUUUUUGGCGAUGAGAGCCCCAGUGCUAUGCUUUUGUUCUCGGUCUAUGACAUGUGGGUCCGUGUGUCAGCUAGCACUGCUUGUAUUUUGGGAGUGGCGCCGUUAUCUCUCUCUUCCUAGUCUCUUCCGCUUCGGUUUCAUUUCUUUCGCCUUUUCCACUGCUCGCUCCGCUUCGGUUUCAUUUCUUUCGCCUUUUCCACAGCUCGCUCCUGAGCUGCGGCGAUGCGAGGCGGUGCUAGAGCGUGUUCCAGUCGCCCUGACGAGUUUCUCCUCAUUCGAUUGAUUUAAAUCCAAUAGAUGCGGUGCUUGAGCGUGUUGUUCUCUUGGUGAUUACUUGUUUGGUCGAUCCCCUCUUCCUCUGUUCAAAUUUUUGCCAUCCUAUCACGUUGAACAUUCCGUGUUGUAUAUUUCGAUUCGCUCUAUGGUUCGCGGCGCCUUUGGUUAGUUAAUCAUCAUCAUUUUGCUUUGGAUCCAUUACAUCCGGGUGUUUGAUUAAUUGCUUGAGUCCCUUCGUACCCAAUUCUAUGACAUUUGCCCAUCCAGUGCACGUAUGGUUGGUGAGAUGUACAUGUGGUUUUGAUUCAUUUUGCCUCGAUUAUUAUGUUGCGAAUAAUCUUUGUUUCUAUUUGAUUUUGCCCUCCGCUUUUUGUUGUGGCGGAAUCGUCCAAAUUAACUUGGCUAAAGUAUACUUAAGCCGCUUAAUACGCAUGCAUGUACUUUAAACAAAUCAAUUUAGUCGUCCGUCGGAUUUCAUCCGAUUAACUAAAUAUCUCAGGAUCGAGAAAGCAAGACUCGCACGAAGGUGAGUGGUUACAGAUAUUACAACAGUCCAUCUUAAUUAAACAAGUGCAUCAAAUUAUUACAACCUCAAGUUCGAAAUUCAAGCAAAGUUUGCAGAGUUCUCAAAUAACAGAAAUAACUGAGCGAAAGCUAAACGUAGUUGCAGGAUAUCAUGACAAAACCGAUCAUGACAUCAAUAAUCCCGGUCCUCGCCAUCCAAGGAGGGAUCCCACUCAACCGUCCAACUAAUAAGAGGAAGUUGGGGAGGCUAAGUGCCACUUGCAGCGAGCUCGGGGUAUCAACAUCACCUGAAAAGAUGUGCCACAACAAGGCUAAGCGACUACGCUCAACAAGACUUAACCGACCGGUGGUACUACUCCACCAACACCUAGACAUGCAAGCUCUUUGAUUGAGGGUUUGUUUUUGCCAAAAACAGCUAGAGUUAGUCCUUACUUUCAACUUUUUAGCCACAAGUUCUAAAUUCAUUAACCAGUCUAGAUUUGCAUCCUAUACUAAGCAAGCAUAGUUUCAAACAAUUAAUUGACAAACAUCAACAUUUAUAUCAUCACCAAGUUCCAUCUUUACUCAGUGCAGCAUAGGGAUCAAGUAGUCCCAAAUUAUGAGAGGCAGACGAAUCGAUUCGAAUUUAUUAACCAUGCAUGGCGAACCUAAUCCCACGACAUCCGCGCACCGCGAAGGUUCGCUUCAUUUGUCAGUCGUCCCCAUCAAUUCCAAGACCCGUGUCGGGCCCACUUUCCUUGGUACAAGGCUCCAUAGAUCCGGCCUCUGCCGUUCUAUGACCGCACUUGUCACCACAUGCGGCCGCAAGGGAACUCCAUUCUAGAGACAAUGGAACGAUCCGCUCACGUUCCAGUUCAAUCAGGUACUAGGCUUCCCCAUCCCAUACUAGGUAUGAGAUUAGUACUUUCAACACUUGAUCACGAACACUAUCACAUCUCGACCUUAGUCCAAUUUCAUGUAGACAGAUGGGGCAAUCCACCGACCACCAAAAUAGUUCACAGAGCCCUGCCCCAUCCAUCGUCCUUACAGUUGUAACAAAAGGAAAACAAACAACUCCUAUAACUUGCGAGUGACAGUCAAUCACUUGACUUUUACCGAGUCCUAUUAAGCAUUGCACUACUCGGCCUAUCAUACUAGUGUUCAAAUCAAAAUGGUACUAAGUUCAUGCAUCUACGGUUUCAAUCAACUCCUGGAAUGUAAAUGCACAAUAAGCAAUCAAUUAUAUUGCAAGUAAUUAAAGAUAGAAAAUCAUGCUCCGGGGCUUACCUUCACGCGGGGAGUUAGCGAACUGGUCCUCAGCUUGAUCCGGUACGGGCUCGGCUCCGACUUGAUGCAAAUCCGCUACGGCUCCUUCUUCUGACGCUGGGUGAAGCUCGUAUGUCACGUCAGCAAGGUUCAGCUCUACACGAAAUGCAAAUGCAUCAAGUUCAACUUCUGUGCUUUCUCAUAUAGGAUGCAAAGCAUGAAUUAGCACUGAAGUAUAAAUUACAUCAUGACCACAUUCACCUAAACAAAGUUCUACACCUUCUUUAUCUGCAUAAGGUAAGGUGUGUUAUGGUGUAAACCCGGAGUUGACUUGAUGGUGAUUGUGUACAUAUAUACAACUUAACUUUAUUAAACUUUAGAUUGGAAAGUUAUCUUAUUUCUGAAUGUUCUUUUGUACCUCUUUCGAAAAAGACUAUUACCUUUACUUAAGGUUCUUUCUUCCAUUUAAUUUGGUUCAUCUUCCAAAUUUUAUUUCUAUUAUCAACAGCAAGUUACGGAGUUGAAACUUUACCAGCAACUUAACCUUGUCAUGAAUAAGCUACUGCACAAAUUGGAGGCUUACUAGAGUUGCACAAAAAUAAUUAAAAUGAUUUCAUUAUGAUAAGGCAGUGUAUGCUUAACUAUUUUUAAGACAUAAACCAUAACGAAUUUGGGUAUGAAAGUUUAACAGUAGGUUCCAGAGGUGAAAUAGAGCCUUUGGUGAAUUUUUCAUAAUUUUUAGUGAACGGCGUCUUUUUCCAUACAUUUACCCUAUUAUUCUUCCCCCAAAAAGGAAAUUGGUUUUCCUUCUGCUUCUGAUCAGGUUCUAUAUUUUUUCUACAAACUACACUACACCACUGACUUAUUCCAAUUUAUUUCAUAUUUUUUAUCAUUUUUGGUUAAAUUAUUAUGCAAAAAGACAAAAGCCACCUUAGAUUUCCAUGAUAAAAAUAAAAUAGAGAUUUAAACAUUUGAGCUAGGCUCCACAUCAUUAUUGUAAGCUUCCAUUCUCUGAAACAAGCACUUGAGAGUUGGAUUUACCAUUUUAGCAUUUUCCUGCAAUUUAUUAUGAUUUAAAUGGCUUAAACAAGGAUUAAAACAUAUAACAUCAAUCCUAGCAGAGACAUGUGCCAAAAGUAUUUUUGUUAGAAACUACACUUUAUACUGAGUCUAGCAAAAUUGGUUUGACAUUUUUCUGAAUUUUCUACGAGUUUUGGUGAAUUUCCAAAGUUAAACACAUUUUCUACAAAUUAUAAAACAAAAACCGAGGUAAACUUGUGAUCUAGCCCCUGGGUCUAAAGGUUAAUUGCGUAGGGGUCCCUGAAUUUAGCACUAAGGUCCCUGGAAGAAGGGAAAAGACAUAAGUGUGCCCUUGGCGGCGCACCCGGUGGCAGUCCGGCCAAAUUCCGACGAUGCACCGGCCAAUCCCGGGAAAGUUUUUGCGGGGAAGGCGGAGGAGCUCACCGGAAGUUGAUUGGCGGUGGUUGGGAGCGCAAAGAAGGUUGGGCGGGGGCGGAACGGCGGCGGACUACGAGCGGCAGGGACGGCGUCAGGUGGCGGGGGUUCCGACGGCGUCGGGGCUUGGAGGCGGCGACGGGCGAGCGCCUGAGCUUUGCGAGGUGGCGGUGAAGCUAGUGGUGGUGUCGGCGAGGUGCGGGGCGGUGCGGAAGGGGGAGCUCCACAGAGAGGGUGUGCAGUGGAGCGGAGAGUGAGAGCAAGGGAGCUUCGGCGAGUGGCAAGGGCGAGCGGGGAAGGCGGGCACGGGUGGCGCUGGCGGAGGCUUUAUAGCCGUGCAAGACGUGCGGCUGGCCGGUAGGCCGGAGGGGCACGGCGUGUGCUGCUGCGGCCAUUAAUGGUGGCGGCACCAUUGGCGGACAGGGGGGUGACCGGCGAGGUGCGGCAGGCAAGGUGACAGGCUCGGGGCGAAGUGAGCGUGCGCGCGAGAAACGGCUUUGCCAGGGUAUCGGGUUGGCGAGGCGGAGUCCAAGGCGUCGCGGCCGGGGUGGCGGUUGGCGGAGGCGGCGGCGUCGAGGCGGAGCGGACGGGAGCAGGGUCGGGGGACCGCGACGCUUACUGGCGGCGGGGCGCGCGAGGCGGCGUCCUGCCGGGCUGGAGAUCGGGCGAGAGGGCUUCAUCGGUGAAGCCGCGCCACGUGGUGGCAGCGCUCUGGAGCGUGCAGCGCGCGUGCUCUGGGCCGAGGGAUUUGCAGGAUUGCCUCGCUGGGCUGAUCUUCAAGCGCAAUUACUCCAGAUUUUUGAACUGCGCGACCUUAACUCCCUUUACAAAAGUUGUAGUCCUCAUAUCCAAGUUCAACCUUUGUAAUGGAACCAAGUUCAAAUUCGCAGUAGAUUUGAAGAUACAAAGCUUGAAAGUUCAGAGGAACGCCAGAUUUCCAGACUUAGGCAAAAACGGUAGUUUGGCUGAUUUCAGGGUUUUUGGCUGACUUGAGCCCCAAUUUUGAAAAGCUUCUGAUGUGAAUUUGACCAGAGUCCAAUUGAGGAAGUUGUUGUAUAAACUUAUUUUUCAAACUCUUAUAAAGGGUUUUGCUGGCAUGCUUUUUAAGUUUCACGAGAUAAGCUUAAGUCAAGAUGCAUGGUUGAACUGCUUCCAAACUUAGCCUAGAUUGCUGAUUGAGGCUGGGUUGACCAAGGUUUUGGAAGCCUUCUGUGCGGAUUUCGACCUUACUCCUUUAGUCAAUGUUGUUAAGGGCUUGAAGCUCUAAAGCUUUUGUAUAGAGUUCAGCUUGAGUUUAUUUUGGAAAAUUCUAGAUAAAGAGCUCCAAGUUUGGGGCUUUAUCUGUUUUUCUUAUAUUGACACAGUUUUGAACUUUGAGUUUUUGAAGAUCUUCUGCUCAGAUUCAAGCAUAACACCAAAACUAAAAGUUGUUAGGAAAGUUGAUUUCUACAACUCUUAGUUGGAUAGAGUUUUAAGUUCUUAAGCAAAAAUUUGAGUUAUGUUUUAAACAGUUUUUUAUCUUGUGAGGAUAAAAGUGUCUUUUUACUUGUCUUCAGAACUGUCAAUUGUUCUUCUUUAUGCUCAAAUGACUUUACUUAAGAUUAAACAUGGUUUAAUUGGGCUAGGUUGUUACAGCUGUCCCCGUGCGGGGGGUUAUUUUGUGCUGCGAUUCCCAUUGCGGAUCGAUUGGAUUGGAUUCUGAGCAAACUUGCCGUGAAACCCAUAGGUGAAUUGACAACUACAACAUCGAAUCCAUUAGAUGGCGGGGGUUUGAUUUGUUGACUGUGGUUUGCAUUUUUGGUUCAGUUGUUUGGUUGUGUGCUUCCGUUGUUCACAUGGUCGCGGAGGGGUUGGGGUUGGCUGAUUGAUUGAUUGCUCCGCUUUGUUGUUUAUUAAUUUGGCUCAUGUCUAGUGUGUGUGCUUGCUGUAUAAGGUUUGUAGUUUUGCUAUUAGAUUUAUAACUUGUUGUCAUAUUUUUAGGUUGGGGAUUGUGUCUAUGUGAUGAUUUCCAACUUAGGGUGAAAUGUUAGUUGCAAGCCUAUAGGAAUCAGUAUGAUUUGUUUUACUUUGCUUUUGACUAACUUGUAGUUGCUAUUAGACAUUAUCAGGUUUCUGGUGAUUUCUCUGUCUACUAUAUUUUGAUGUAGUGACUAUUUUAGUUCAUUCAAUUUUCUGCUUUUCAAAAUGUGCAUUAAGGUAUAUAGUUUUUCUUGCAAAAGGGUUAUAUGGUUUACUAGCUCUGACUGUUUGUAUAUAUUAAUUUAGAUUGUGGCUCUAGCAUUAUUGAAGUCAUUAAGUUAGUAUGCAUUUGCUCUCUGAUAUUUCCAAUUACAUGUCCAAAUGUAAUUCCUAGCUAGGUGUUUUGUUUAAAUGGUGUUCUAUGCAAAGAAUGUCUAAUCUUACUGUUUUUCAUUUCAGAUGGCCUGGAAAUGCUCUUCUCUUGUUAAUUUAUCCAGUGGUGAAUCCGAAGACCCUGAUUAUGAGGAUGUACAAUGUUCACAAUUACCAAACAUUGAUUCUGAUACGCCCUUUCCCUCUUCUGAUAAUGAAAUUCAAUCUGAUAUAAGUAUGAUGUUUGUAUGUUGUCCAAUGUUGUUUAAUAUUCAUUUUUUGCAUUUUAUUCUCAAAAGUUUUUGAGUGCUUAUUGUGAUAUGCUCUGUUUUACUCUGUCCAUGUCAUUUUCAUGUUGAAAUGAAAUUGUCAUCUUCAUUUGAUAACACUGAAGAAUUUAACCAAGCACUCUUUGAGCUAGUUAUGAGAGAUGUAUGGUAACUCCAUUAUUUUUCAUAUACCUAUUCUGAAUUGUACCUUGCCUUAAUUUAAUUUAAUUGAUCACAUCUCUUGUAUACAAAAAUAAAUCUUUUUUCCUCAGUUCAAGCUUAUAAAUAUGUUGAAGCGUAAGUUAUCAUUGUCAACAAAGCAUAAGGUUAGAGUUGUAUCCUGGUUAUUAUUCCUUUUUAACAACAUUUUUUUGGGAUAUGCAUGUUUGGACUCUGUAUAAUGUCAUUUCUACCUACCUUGAUAUAAAUUAGUUGGGCUCUAAGUAAUGGACAGUAUCAUUAUUUUGUUAUUGCAGUGGUUGGUCACAUGUAGCAUAUAACUGAAUGAUAAUAAAUACUCUUUUAUAGUUUAUAUAUUUACACCGAUCUAUUUUUUUUUGACAAUUCUAUAUUAUAACUGGCUUUCUCCUUUCAAAUCCAUAUAGUUUUAUAUUUUUUAAAAUUAAACACAGUAAUUAGUUUUAUUGAGUUGAGUAUAUCAGUUUUUAUACCUUCACAACUAAUUUUUUUAUAUGCAGCCACACUCUCAAUUCAUUCUAUUUGCUAUUUUAAUUUAUAGUCUAAAAGAGCUAAACUCAUUAAGAAGUCGGAUGAUGGAUUCACCAGAUUCCCUGCUACUGCCUUUUCAAAUGUCAUUGCUUCUCUAUCACCUCAUCAAAGAUCUUUUGUUGAAGGUUAUGGUUUUGGUUCACUUCUUCAGCUCAGAAAGUGCUAUGCUCCUAAGAAAUUUGCUACCUGCAUUGCACACCUUGUUGAUUCAAAAUCUGGUGAUAUUGUUCUUCAUGGAAAGGUUAUAUCACUUACCAAGGAGUCUGUUAACCUAGUCGUGGGCUUUCCUCUUGGUCCAAAACCAUUCCCAACUGAUUCCAGUGUAGGCAAGGCUGUUUGCUGUCAAAAUUUGGCAAGGAGGAUCUCCCUCAAGUUACCUACUUUGUCAAUAAAAUUAUCAAAUAGGUUGCAAUGUCUAAUGAAGAUGUAUUUAUCUGCUUUAUGGUUAUUAUUGCUCUUAGUAGCUUCCUAUGCUCCAAUUCAUCAUUGACUCCUAGCCCAAAGUAUUUUGGUAUCUUUGAAGAUAUUAACAAUGCCAAGGACUAUGAUAUCCCUCGAAUAUUAGUUUGGAAAGAAGAAAUGAUCAAAUUUUACUUAGAUCUUGAUAUGAAAGCUCCUGGUGUGUCUAUGGAUAUAGACCUGUUCUUGAUUAUGAAGACACUUGCUAUGCUUAGGUUUGGACAUCUUUCAUUAUGUAUAUUAAAAUUAUAUUAUCUUAUUCAUAUUUGCUUAAUCAAUACUCUUCUAUGCUUUUUUAUGCUCUUUACUUGAGUAUUUAUUUUACUUGUAGUUUCAUAUGUACAAGCAUGUCGAACUUGUUGUUUCAAUGGAAGCUAAUUUCUGUGAAAGAAUGGAAGAAGUUUCUGGUUGUAAGCUACCUUACAGUUUGAAGGUCAAUAUAUCAAAGUUGAUUGAAAACAUUGUUGCAAGUCUAAUUUGUCUAUUAACAUGGAUGUCACUUCACUAUCCCAUAUUCCUGAUGAUCUGAAGAGAAUAUUUACAAAACUAAUUAUGCAUACACUUCACAUGGAUGUGACUUGCCAAAUCACAUGAGUGAUGACAGCUGUAACUCCCAAGUGUUGGAAAAGAUUUAAAGAAGGUCACUAAAAAGGUUAAUGAAGAAAUUUGGCUUAAAAAGAGGUAUAAUGAGCUACGUUCAAAUUUGAGCUAAAUUUGACCAAAAAUUCAAAUAAAUGAUUCAAAUUUGGAAAAAAAUGAUAAAAUUGGGAAACAGGAGUUUAAAGUACUUAGAAUUCAAUGGAAUCAAGUUUGAGAGUAAAUGCAAGUCAUAAGGACCUCAAAUGCAUAGUCAAAUUUGUUGACUUGGGGCAAACUAUUCAAAAUCAGAAAAUACUGAGUCUAGGAACUGAGUCAAGUGACCAACUUUGGACUUGGUUUCUAAGGAAUUUCAUAUUAAAACCUUGGAUCUUUUUGGACCCUAAGUGAUUUUGGGUAUCCAGUAAAUCAAUUGGACAUGUUGUUGGACAGAGAAAAGAAGGAAUUCAAAUUGUUCUUGGAGCUCAAAGUUUGAAAGAUGGACUAUUUUUUAGUUUAACUGUCAAACUGGCUAAUGCCAAUGAACACUAAAAUCAGUGUUUUUGGCUAACUUUGGUUCAAGAUUUAAAAGAGGUUUACAUGAGAAUGUUGGACAAGGUCAUGCAAAAUGGGAUGUAUGAUCUAUGUUUAACAAAUGUCAGUAGCACUUGACAAGGAAAACUGAGUUUGGAUAUUUUAAUUGACGUCCAAAGUUUGAAAGUUCACACUGUUUGGAACUUAACACAAACUGAAUGGCAUAAGCCAUUAAGCUUUAGGGUUCAGAAUUCUGGUCUAAUUUCGGAGGCUUGAUUCAAGUAAAUGGUUGAUCAAAUGCUCAACGUCCAAAUCAAUUGGUCGUAGCCGAUGGAAUCAUCUACAAGUUUGCCUACAAGUUUGCUUAAAGGGCUUAGUCAAGUUUGGAUUGGAAAUUUGGAGAAAAAAAGGAUGGAAAUCAGGUGGAAAUUGGAAGGAAAAGAGGGGAGAGUAGAGGUGGUGCUGCCACGCAGCUACUUGCCAGCACGCCGCCGCCUUUUCCCUUGUUUGGCCGCCAAGCCACUGCCUUCCUUGUCAUCCACGUCUCCUCCGCAUCGCGCUCACGCCACCAAGCCACCGCCAGCACUGCUACCGCCUAAACAGUAAGAUAAAUACCGAGCCACCACCGCGUUUCUCUCUUUUCCCCAUCCAAGAAUAGAGCUGUGCCUCGCACCUAAUUCCUUGAGCACCGUCACCUCUUGAUCAAAUUCCUCACGCCCACGGCUCUGCCACAAACCCAUCCACGUUCCACGCGCUCCAAUUCCACAACUCCCCACCAGUGAGGUCACCCUCGUCAAUCUUCCCGUCCGCCGGCCACCAUAGCCACCCUCAUGGUGAGCACCAUGCUAGAGCUCCUAUCUGUCUAAGAUGUUGGCUCAGGUCGCUUGCAUAAGUGCCACUGCAGCUCUUGAGCGAGUCACUGGCCGGAGCACCGCUAUCAUCGUUGCUCGCUCCGGCGGUCACGGCCGUGUCCGCCGCCACCGUCGAGUGCCCUUGUACAGCUCACCGCCCGAGACAAGAACACUACCAGUAGAUGCGUGCUGCCCUAGGGAACCUACCUGGGCUAGGUCUUGUCACUGGCGAACUCACCGGUGAUGAGCUUUCCGCCGUACCCGCUUGGGCACCCGUGGCCAAAGUGGGGUUGUGGCCUGGUUGACCAGGCCGUGUGACAGUGAGAGAGGGUUGGGGGAGGAGUGUAGCUCUAGGAGUUCCAGGGGGUUUUCGGGAUAAACAGAUUUAGGUGUUUUAGGAUUAGUUUUUAAAUUUAGUUUCCUUGUUUAAUUCACCAUAAUUUAUAGAAAUGUCCAAAAAUAGUGAAACCAAUUUUUUUAGGUUUUUUAUUUUUCUUUAUGCAUUAAAAUUCUUAAACCCUAGGAAAAAUAAUAAAAAUUAGGUGUCUAUUUAUUUGCCUUAUUUUAAGGUAUUUAAAUAAAUACGUAAUAUUCUAAGAAUCAAUAAAAUUCUGAAUAAUGAUUUAUUAAUUAAAAAUCAAUAAUAAAAAUAAUUAGGAAUUACAUUUUUGAGAUUAGUAAUUAUUUAAUAAUCCUUUUUAUAACAAAUUAAAAUAUUUAAGGUUAGUUUAAAGUUAAGGAAAUUUGUGGGGUAGUCUUUUUCAAGGGUAAGUAUUGGCUUGCAACUUUAUCAUGAAGAUAAGUUGUAUAGCCUCUUUUAUCAAAAAGCUUUGCAUAUUCUAACUAUGACUUGCUUCAUAUCGUAGAACCUGAAGCUCCUGAAGUGGAUUUUGUGGAAUUAUCUGAAGAACCACGGGAGUUCGAGGAAGUCAUUUUAGGUGCUCCUGAAGUGGAAAGGUCUGUCGAAGAAACUAACUUUGUUGUAUCCCAAGGCAAGCCCUCGAGCAUCUAAGCCUAUUAUUUUAAGACUUCAUAUUUCAUGUGUCCAAAUUAUUUGUUAUUUCUCUACUUAUGCGUUAUGUCUAGGAGUUGAUUGAAACCCUUUUAUGCACAGUCCAACCUUGUUAUAGAACAUCUUUGCCACCUCUUCAAAAUAUUCAGUUAUAUCCUACGCUUAGCAUUGCUUAGACUUGCAACAUUCAUGAGUAACUCUUAUUGCUCAGCAACCUACGGUAAUAUGCUUCGUACACUUUUAAAUCAAGGAAUGGUCUGGUUUUGAAAGGUGUAGACGGAAGGUUGGAUGGGACAAAGAAAGGAGUCUUUAGUUCCGUAGUUCCGUCUAUUGUGAUUAAUUCGGUUAAGGCCCGUUCAUUGUCUUAACUUUUUAUCAAGUGAUUUUACCUGGUUGCUUACUACCAUUGGGAACCAGCAAGCCCGGUAGGUUAGUUGGCUCUUAGGGUGGAAAUAUCUUUACCCCACUUUGCGUGGGUGUAUGGCGGGGACGUAGCCUGAAACUCACAUGGUGAUCAGGCUAGACGUGGGGUCUCAUAUGGAGGUGCGUUCCCAGGUCUGGGUAAUAAUAUUUCCAGUCUUUAGGUACGACUAAUCGAAAGGUCGUUAUGUGCAACCCAUGCAGUUCUGCAUGGCUGGUGAUUAGGUAUCUCCAACAGGAUGUAAAAUCGAUCUAGAUCGCCGCAAUUUUUGGUUAUGAAUACACUUCAUCAUCGCUUAAGCAUCGUAGAAGUAACAAGUUGAAUAUGAUGUGUUUCCUUGAAUUAAUAUUGUUGUAUGAUGAUUAGUACCACUUGUUUGAGCAAAAUGAUUUAUUCACCUAGACUAGUUAAGUAAGAAUUAAAUUGUGUUAAAUUAAUAAAACUAAGGAUCCACAAGUAGUAAGCUUUUCGCAAAAUGUUGAGUUAGCUAGUCCAAAAAAGCUUUCAUACUCCUUGAGGUCUUAGUUAUUUUAUAUUGGUUAGACGGGUCAGUUUUGCUGCGUACCUUCGUACUCAGGGGAUCCUUUUAUUUGUUUUUUAAAGUGCAGCAGCAGUAUGCGAAAGUGGAGAACUCGAAGAACUAGGGCAUUUAUGGGUCUCAAAAUGUCCUAGAAUUAGACCUUAGAUGUAUAAUUACUUUAUAACUACUUUAUAACAGGACUAUCCCUGGCCUAUAUUAAAGAUUGAAACUUUUUAGAAUGGUUUAACUUGCACUUAAGUUUGUUUUAAUCUAGUUUUUGUAAUAAUUUGUAUAAUUUAUGUAAAAGGUAACGUUUGUUGGUGCUUUCCCAUUGUGGAAGCGAUCCUGAUGUAUGGCUAAGAUUCAAGUUGUAAGUGGAUGAUUCGGGUUGUCCCGGGGACACUUGACGAAUUGCUGGAUUUAAACUGUUUUAAGUGCGUUGAUGAAGUAAUUAGGCGCACUUAAGCCAGUUUAAAUUAGUCGGUUCCGCCACAUCAGCCCUCAAAUCACCCGAGGGAUGGAUAUACAGACCCUAAAUCUUUUAACCUAAGAGCCUAUUAGAACUAAUUUGUUCAGAUCUCUGAGAUUGGGAACAUUCAUUUGAAUAUUUGCUGAACCCCUAACAAAAUCUUUUAAAACAUUCAUGCUACCCAUAUGCCAGUUUGCCGGAUGAAUUUUCCCAUACCCCUCAACAUCCCUCCGAAGAUAGUUUGUCAUAUGUGAAUUAAUUAAAUCUAGGGCCUGCUUAGGAACUUUGAAAAAAAGACUAGCAGGACAAGUCUCGAUCAAAACCAAUGUAAGGCUAGAGACCUUCUCUUUUUUAAUUUUCCCCCUAGAGCCAACACUUCUUUCCAAAUUUUAUAAAUUAAAGCUUAAGAUCUUCUCUUUUAUAACUUUUGGGAAUGUAAGGAUACACCAAGAUAUUUCAUAGAGAAAUUGUCAACGGGUAAGGACGGAUCCAGCGGUGGGGCGGGCGGGGCUCAAGCCCCCCUACCGCCGUUCGAAAGAGCCCCUGCUCAGGCCCCUCCGCCCCUCCCCCCCCCUCCCUCCUCCGAACUUUUAGGAAGAAGGAAGAAGAAGAGAAGGGAGGGAAGGAAGAGGAAGAAUAGGGAGCUCCUCCUAAACUUACGGGCUGGAUCCGCCACUGCCAACUGGACUCCGAAAAACUACUAUUCUAUUGUCUCAUGUUCAUCUAAAUUCGUAGGGAUCAGUUUGCUUUUAUGAUAGUUACCAUGCAUUCCAGGCAUUAAUCAAUACAAGUAAAAAUCCACUUCAUGUUUCCAGCAUGCUCCGAAGAUUUAUCCAAGAAGAGGAUGGUGCCAUCAGCGUAAUGCAAUUUCACCACCUUAGCCCUUUAAUCAGAUUAUCGCUAGCUGCUUUGUUGAGCAUCCUAGUUAACACAUCAAAAGAAUCUGUGAGGGUGUUUUUUCUUUCUUUCUUUCAUUAUCAUGUGUUAUUUCCUAGAUAGAGAGGCACACAUAUGUGGCCCUGUCAUUUCCUUAAAACCCAUUUUAUAUUUGUAUAGGCCUGGGCGUUAACGUUAAAGGACUAGUUUCAGGCAAAAACAAAGUUAACUCGGCCCGUCGUCAUCAUGAUGUGUGCUAGUUUUGCGCCUGUCCUAUCCUCUUCGUUAAUGUGGCUAAUAUGGACUCCAGCAGGCCACAAUCCAAUCAAGGCCGAGCUAGCAUGCCUCCCUCGGUGACCAUAUUCUCUGAAAAAAGAUCCGGCCCAGCUUUAUACUUUAGCGGACCAUGCUUUGGUGAGAAUUGGUGACCAUAUUCCGAGCCUGUAAUUAUUAUGGGCUGAGAGAUUAUGCGGUUGCAUAAUUAGGAACACUUCAAAGUUCAAAUGUUGGUUAUAUAAGGCGUUAUGCUAAUUCAGACAGAUCAAAGUUUCUUUUAUGAAUUUUAUUCAGUUUAAGAAAAACUUGUGGGGUCAAUCUGGACCAUUCCUUUUGGAUCCAGCACAUUCCCUCGUGAACUCCGCCGGUCCAUUGUUCCAAAAAAGGGCGUUCUGACCCUGACUCUGGCAGUUUCCUAUGCCUGCAAAUGUGAAUGAUCCAACAUCAGUCCAAACUGCCACCAAAUGCAGACAUCGGUUAUCUUGUCCUUUAACUCCCGCCAUAAAAGUAUUCGGAUGAAUGGCGGCUGUUUGGCCACCAUGAACUGGACAAAAUUUUCCCAUGGCUUCCGUGGGCAAUUGGGCAAGAAGUUCUUGCACUCCUAUCCAGAGAAAAUCUUGGUACAAUUGGGUUGUUGCAAAUCCGUUCAGAUUUUGGGUAGUUUGAUUGCGUCUGUUGCCUGCAAUGCAGGACUGGUGUUUAAAAUAGGUCCAUUUCAUCAAUUAUUCAGAUCCAGCAACCGCACUGAGUUGUUCAGACAGCAAUUAAGCAGCCAUCGCAAUCAUACAGUUUUUGGUAUUUGUCACCCAUCCACAUCAAGCCAGGGCAUUCUGUCUUCUGAAGAUUUGUUACUAUACUCUCUUUCUCAUCCAAGGAUAAUUGCCUUCUGUUUACUAUGACUGAAUGGUCAGUGCAAGGCUAAACCUGCACACAUAAUAUGCAGAUUGAACUUUACAUUAUCACCUGAAAAGAAAAUACACAAAUGCAUCUAUUUUGUGAUUCUUACGAAUUAUUGCCUUAGUUUUGAUAAAUGAAAAUCCAUGGAUAAUUGUCUUCUGUUUACCAUGGCUGAGUGGUCAGUGUAAGACUAAAUCUGGACGGAAAAUGUAGUUCGAAGUUUAUGCCAUCACCAGGAAAAAAGAGAUACACAAACGUAUUUAUUUUGUGAUUAUCAUGGAUUAUUGCCAUAGCUUUGACAAAUAAAAAGAAUCUGAAAAGUCAUGCAUGGUGCAUCUGUACUACAGCCAUUUCAGUUGGGAACAUAUCUAUACCAGCACUGUUUAUACAAAUCUUCAAAUGAACAGAAGCUUUACCCAUAACUUAAUUAUGACUUC
rnacentral:lncRNA from 1 species